rnacentral:rRNA from 1 species
GAAGUUUUCAGAGAUGAGAAUGUGCCUUCGGGAACCGUGAGACAGGUGCUGCAUGGCUGUCGUCAGCUCGUGUUGUGAAAUGUUGGGUUAAGUCCCGCAACGAGCGCAACCCUUAUCCUUUGUUGCCAGCGGUCCGGCCGGGAACUCAAAGGAGACUGCCAGUGAUAAACUGGAGGAAGGUGGGGAUGACGUCAAGUCAUCAUGGCCCUUACGACCAGGGCUACACACGUGCUACAAUGGCGCAUACAAAGAGAAGCGACCUCGCGAGAGCAAGCGGACCUCAUAAAGUGCGUCGUAGUCCGGAUUGGAGUCUGCAACUCGACUCCAUGAAGUCGGAAUCGCUAGUAAUCGUGGAUCAGAAUGCCACGGUGAAUACGUUCCCGGGCCUUGUACACACCGCCCGUCACACCAUGGGAG